GACGAACGUUGGCGGCGUGCUUAAUACAUGCAAGUCAACUGAAGCAGUGGUAGCAAUAUCGCUGUGGAGGUGGCGCACGGGUGAGUAACACGUAGGUAAUCUGCCUUCAGGUCUGGCAUAACUCCGGGAAACCGGGGCUAAUAGCAGAUGAUGCAGCGGCUCGACAUCGAGACAGUUGUUAAAGCUAUGGCGCCUGAAGAUGAGCCUGCGUCUGAUUAGCCAGUUGGCGGGGUAACGGCCCACCAAGGCAACGAUCAGUAGCUGGUCUGAGAGGAUGAUCAGCCACACUGGAACUGAGACACGGUCCAGACUCCUACGGGAGGCAGCAGUAAGGAAUAUUGCUCAAUGGGAGAAAUCCUGAAGCAGCAACGCCGCGUGAGGGACGAAGGGCUUUUGCUUGUAAACCUCUGUAGUGAGAGAAAAAAAUCCCAAUCUUUGGGACAUGAUGGUAUCUCAAAAGUAAGCCCCGGCUAACUACGUG
rnacentral:rRNA from 1 species